UCGAUUUGUUGACAGGUUUAGUUUGUUGCUUCCAUUUACAGCUAGGAAUCGAUGAAGCUUCUCAAUCACAACUCACCACCACUACCAUAUUUCUCUUUAUCUCCUUCUUCGUCCCUAUCUAAGAAACCAACAUGACCAGUCACCCACCACACCACCACUCUCUGGUUUUCCAUAAUAGACUCACACUCACACACCUAGAUCUAAAUACACACAUCUGGUUCUUUACGAUUUGCCUUUUUUAUUUGCUUUCAUAGAGGAUGAUGAAUUAGAAAACAACUAGAAGCCCCUUCUCUCUAAUGUUCUUUUAUUGCUUCAAAAGUUUCAUUUGUUAAUCAUCCUUUUCUUGAAAUGUUGAUCUUAAAAAAAAGUAACAGAGUAUUGGUUUGAAGAUUAGAUAUGCAUUUGGAUUUGGAAAAAGGAAUCGACCGGAGAAAAAAAAGGGUGGAGGGACAACACCAUUCGGUCAUGGUGAUUUGGGGGAAAAGGAGACAAAUGAGGAAUCAGAAAUCGAUUGGAGAGAAAGGGUGAAAGGAAACCCUAGAUUUUUAUUCCUUUUUUUUUUUUCAUGUUUUACGCCUUUAGGAAAUGAAAUUCCUGGAUCAUCAUAGUUGACCUCAAAAGUUCUUCCUUUUGACAUAACCAUGGGUGUUAAUGGCAUUUUUAUUGGAUUUAUCAAGUAAUUAACACCUACAGACCAGCACCUACUAUAUGGUUCGAACAUGCCCCUGAUCUUGAUUGAUAUUGGCUAACUGAAGUAAAAGAGAAAUAGUUAAUAGUAAUUACUAUCUAAUUCCAAAUGGACCACACCUUACCAUGGAAGGAGUAGGAGAGGAUAAGAUUCAAAUGUUGUAAUGGGUUUCUUAUCUUAUGUUUUGUGAAAUUUUCUUAAAUACUUGAACCCGCUUUGACUGAUUUAAAAAAGAAGCCCAAGAAGGAAAAGCUACAUUUUUAGACAAAAAGGAGUAUGUUUCACUAAUUUAUCGGCGGUUGAUGGCUUCCGAUUACCUAAAUGUCCUGUUGAUGGACUGGGGGUUAAAGUUUAUAAAUUACUACCAUAAAGUUUUAACAUCAAACCAUCUUUGGGUGUUUGUGAAGCAUGAAUUGAGUUUACUUGUUCAAAGAUGAUCCCAAUCUAUUUGUGGUAAGCUAAAUACGAGUAAUACUCAUUGUGAAUUUACUUACCGGUGUUUUAAGCACUACGUAAUAUCAUGAAAUUCCAAAUAAAUGAUGAAAUAGUUUCAUUAAACACUUCUUUGCUAAAAUUGUUUCAUUUUAUCGAUCAAAUUAGAUAUAAUAAUUAAUGUAAAUAAAAACAUUAUAAUUAGUAGACAUAAAGUUAGUUGAUGCAAU